AAUUAAUGACAGAUUUUUUUUUCUUACUAAAUCUCCGUUUGGGUAUUGGUUAGGCUACAAUUAGGCUGUGGAAAUGUUAGCUAAAUUGAGCUGAGAAUUCCACCCUGGAUUAAGACCAUUCUGUCUAAUGUUUUGUGUUUGCAGAAAACUAAAUUGGAGAGGCAUUGUGGAAGUGUGUGGAUGCUGUGAGUAUUCUCACAGAAUGAGGCGUUGGGAGCACCAUCUGUUUUCACCACCUCC